rnacentral:rRNA from 1 species
AGCGAACGCUGGCGGCAGGCCUAACACAUGCAAGUCGAACGGAUCCUUCGGGAUUAGUGGCGGACGGGUGAGUAACACGUGGGAACGUGCCCUUUGGUUCGGAACAACUCAGGGAAACUUGAGCUAAUACCGGAUGUGCCCUUUGGGGGAAAGAUUUAUCGCCAUUGGAGCGGCCCGCGUCUGAUUAGCUAGUUGGUGAGGUAAAGGCUCACCAAGGCGACGAUCAGUAGCUGGUCUGAGAGGAUGAUCAGCCACAUUGGGACUGAGACACGGCCCAAACUCCUACGGGAGGCAGCAGUGGGGAAUCUUGCGCAAUGGGCGAAAGCCUGACGCAGCCAUGCCGCGUGAAUGAUGAAGGUCUUAGGAUUGUAAAAUUCUUUCACCGGGGACGAUAAUGACGGUACC